GGCCUUGCGCUCUUUGAGCGGCCGAUGUCAGUUUAGCUAGUUGGUGAGGUAAAGGCUUACCAAGGCGACGAUCUGUAGCGGGUCUGAGAGGAUGAUCCGCCACACUGGAACUGAGACACGGUCCAGACUCCUACGGGAGGCAGCAGUGGGGAAUUUUGGACAAUGGGGGCAACCCUGAUCCAGCCAUGCCGCGUGAGUGAAGAAGGCCUUCGGGUUGUAAAGCUCUUUCGGCCGGGAAGAAAUCGCAUGGGCCAAUACCCUGUGUGGAUGACGGUACCGGAAUAAGAAGCACCGGCUAACUACGUGCCAGCAGCCGCGGUAAUACGUAGGGUGCGAGCGUUAAUCGGAAUUACUGGGCGUAAAGCGUGCGCAGGCGGUUUUGUAAGACAGGCGUGAAAUCACCGGGCUUAACCUGGGAACUGCGUUUGUGACUGCAAGGCUAGAGUACGGCAGAGGGGGGUGGAAUUCCACGUGUAGCAGUGAAAUGCGUAGAGAUGUGGAGGAACACCAAUGGCGAAGGCAGCCCCCUGGGUCGAUACUGACGCUCAUGCACGAAAGCGUGGGUAGCAAACAGGAUUAGAUACCCUGGUAGUCCACGCCCUAAACUAUGUCAACUAGGUGUUGGGUGGGUAAAACCAUUUAGUACCGUAGCUAACGCGUGAAGUUGACCGCCUGGGGAGUACGGCCGCAAGGUUAAAACUCAAAGGAAUUGACGGGGACCCGCACAAGCGGUGGAUGAUGUGGAUUAAUUCGAUGCAACGCGAAAAACCUUACCUACCCUUGACAUGCCAGGAACUUGCCAGAGAUGGCUUGGUGCCCGAAAGGGAGCCUGGACACAGGUGCUGCAUGGCUGUCGUCAGCUCGUGUCGUGAGAUGUUGGGUUAAGUCCCGCAACGAGCGCAACCCUUGUCGUUAAUUGCCAUCAUUUAGUUGGGCACUUUAACGAGACUGCCGGUGACAAACCGGAGGAAGGUGGGGAUGACGUCAAGUCCUCAUGGCCCUUAUGGGUAGGGCUUCACACGUCAUACAAUGGUCGGUACAAAGGGUUGCCGAGCCGCGAGGCGGAGCCAAUCCCAGAAAGCCGAUCGUAGUCCGGAUUGCAGGCUGCAACUCGCCUGCAUGAAGUCGGAAUCGCUAGUAAUCGUGGAUCAGCAUGUCACGGUGAAUACGUUCCCGGGUCUUGUACACACCGCCCGUCACACCAUGGGAGCGGGUUCCGCCAGAAGUAGGUAGCCUAACCGCAAGGGGGGCGCUUACCA
rnacentral:rRNA from 1 species